rnacentral:rRNA from 1 species
GACGAACGCUGGCGGCGUGCUUAACACAUGCGAGUCGAACGGAAAGGCCCUGCUUUUGUGGGGUGCUCGAGUGGCGAACGGGUGAGUAACACGUGAGUAACCUGCCCUUGACUUUGGGAUAACUUCAGGAAACUGGGGCUAAUACCGGAUAGGAGCUCCUGCUGCAUGGUGGGGGGUGGAAAGUUUCGGCGGUUGGGGAUGGACUCGCGGCUUAUCAGCUUGUUGGUGAGGUAGUGGCUUACCAAGGCUUUGACGGGUAGCCGGACUGAGAGGGUGACCGGCCACAUUGGGACUGAGAUACGGCCCAGACUCCUACGGGAGGCAGCAGUGGGGAAUAUUGCACAAUGGGCGGAAGCCUGAUGCAGCAACGCCGCGUGCGGGAUGACGGCCUUCGGGUUGUAAACCGCUUUCGCCUGUGACGAAGCGUGAGUGACGGUAAUGGGUAAAGAAGCACCGGCUAACUACGUG